CCCCAGAGGCCCAGGGCAGAGCGCCUCACGUGCUGGGCAGAGUCAGGACAGCACCUGCCUGUCCUCUGUACGUGAGAUGAACUGGGGCUACAGCCAGCCUGCCUGCAAGCAGAGAUGGGAGGCAGCCUCAAGGCAGCCACAUUUAAGUUGAAGA